CCUACAACAACAUAGAGAUAACAUGGAGCUGGCAGGUGAUCCAGGUCACAAUAGAGGUCAAGCAGUGGGAGGAGGAAGACGUGGUGGUCAAAGGAAUGUCAAAGGACAAGCACCCCUUCUGAGAGGUGGUCGUGGGCCUCGUUUGAGAUGUGUGGGGGAACGUGGUAGAGGACAAGCACCCCUUCUGAGAGGUGGUCGUGGGCCUUGUUUGAGAUGUGUGGGGGAACGUGGUAGAGGACAAGCACCCCUUCUGAGAGGUGGUCGUGGGCCUUGUUUGAGAUGUGUGGGGGAAUGUGGUAGAGGACAAACACCCCCUCUGAGAGAUGGUCGUGGGCCUCGUUUGAGAUGUGUGGGGGAAUGUGGUAGAGGACAAACACCCCUUCUGAGAGAUGGUCGUGGGCCUCGUUUGAGAGGUGUGGGGGAACGUGGUAGAGGAUAAGGCCACGGACCAAGACAGCGGCAGCAACAGCAGAGAGUGUCCAAUGAAAUCCGAGCAAUAGUUGUAGACCAUGUCGUAAAUCAUGACAAUGACUGAGGCAGCUACAAUGAUUCAACCAAACCUCAGAAGAUCAACCGUGGCCUCAAUCAUCAGAACUUUACGCAAUGAGAACCGGAACCAUGAAUUAUAACUACGCUGCGUCUUGGUCCGAUCCCUGCUACACCUCUUCUUCAGAGGAAGAGGAAGAAGAGAACCGUUACAACCACACAGUAGGUGAUAGGGUGAUGGAGCUGGAUGCUGAUGAAAACCAUCACAAAUUCCUAUUUUUGGAUGAGGUAGGUUUCAACCUGGCCAAGACAAGGAGGAGAGGUCGGAAUUUCAUUGGCCAGCGGGCAACCAUCCAAGUACCAGGACAACGUGGGGAAAACAUCACCAUGACCUGAGCCCUAGGACCAUGCCCCAGGACUACCUGACAUGAUGACUCCUUGCUGUCCCCAGUCCACCUGGCCAUGCUGCUGCUCCAGUUUCAACUGUUCUGCCUUAUUAUUAUUCGACCAUGCUGGUCAUUUAUGAACAUUUGAACAUCUUGGCCAUGUUCUGUUAUAAUCUCCACCCGGCACAGCCAAAUCAAAUCAAAUCAAAUCAAAUCAAAUUUUAUUUGUCACAUACACAUGGUUAGCAGAUGUUAAUGCGAGUGUAGCGAAAUGCUUGUGCUUCUAGUUCCGACAAUGCAGUAAUAACGAGCAAGUAAUCUAACU
ensembl:lncRNA